UACAGAGGUCUCAAGCGUUGUUCGGAUUCAUUGGGCGUAAAGGGUGCGUAGGCGGCGCGGUAAGUCGGGUGUGAAAUCUCGGAGCUUAACUCCGAAACUGCAUUCGAUACUGCCGUGCUUGAGGACUGGAGAGGAGACUGGAAUUUACGGUGUAGCGGUGAAAUGCGUAGAUAUCGAGAGGAACACCAGUGGCGAAGGCGAGUCCCCGGACAACACCUGACACUGAGGCACGAAAGCUAGGGGAGCAAACAGG
rnacentral:rRNA from 1 species